rnacentral:rRNA from 1 species
AUGCAGAGAACUUCCAGAGAUGGAUUGGUGGCCUUCGGGAACGUACUGACACAGGUGCUGCAUGGCUGUCGUCAGGCUCGUGUCGUGAGAUGUUGGGUUAAGUCCCGUAACGAGCGCAACCCUUGUCCUUAGUUACCAGCACGUUAUGGUGGGCACUCUAAGGAGACUGCCGGUGACAAACCGGAGGAAGGUGGGGAUGACGUCAAGUCAUCAUGGCCCUUACGGCCUGGGCUACACACGUGCUACAAUGGUCGGUACAAAGGGUUGCCAAGCCGCGAGGUGGAGCUAAUCCCAUAAAACCGAUCGUAGUCCGGAUCGCAGUCUGCAACUCGACUGCGUGAAGUCGGAAUCGCUAGUAAUCGUGAAUCAGAAUGUCACGGUGAAUACGUUCCCGGGCCUU